GGAUUUGAACCCGCGUGUCCUUUCGGACAGUAGGUCGCUCGCUUUUAGCUGGAAAUGGUCUCGAGCCUA
rnacentral:sRNA from 1 species